rnacentral:rRNA from 1 species
GAGUUUGAUCAUGGCUCAGAUUGAACGCUGGCGGCAGGCCUAACACAUGCAAGUCGAGCGGCAGCGGGAAAGUAGCUUGCUACUUUUGCCGGCGAGCGGCGGACGGGUGAGUAAUGCCUGGGAAAUUGCCCAGUCGAGGGGGAUAACAGUUGGAAACGACUGCUAAUACCGCAUACGCCCUACGGGGGAAAGCAGGGGACCUUCGGGCCUUGCGCGAUUGGAUAUGCCCAGGUGGGAUUAGCUUGUUGGUGAGGUAAUGGCUCACCAAGGCGACGAUCCCUAGCUGGUCUGAGAGGAUGAUCAGCCACACUGGAACUGAGACACGGUCCAGACUCCUACGGGAGGCAGCAGUGGGGAAUAUUGCACAAUGGGGGAAACCCUGAUGCAGCCAUGCCGCGUGUGUGAAGAAGGCCUUCGGUUGUAAGCACUUCAGCGAGGAGGAAAGGUUGAUGCCUAAUACGUAUCAGCUGUGACGUUACUCGCAGAAGA